UAACACGUAGGUAACCUGCCCAUGUGUCCGGGAUAACCGCUGGAAACGGUAGCUAAAACCGGAUAGGUAUACAGAGCGCAUGCUCAGUAUAUUAAAGCGCCCAUCAAGGCGUGAACAUGGAUGGACCUGCGGCGCAUUAGCUAGUUGGUGAGGUAACGGCCCACCAAGGCGAUGAUGCGUAGCCGGCCUGAGAGGGUAAACGGCCACAUUGGGACUGAGACACGGCCCAA
rnacentral:rRNA from 1 species